UACAGAGGGGGCAAGCGUUGUUCGGAAUUACUGGGCGUAAAGGGCGCGUAGGCGGCCUUCUAAGUCGAACGUGAAAUCCCCGGGCUCAACCCGGGAACUGCGUCCGAUACUGGAAGGCUUGAAUCCGGGAGAGGGAUGCGGAAUUCCAGGUGUAGCGGUGAAAUGCGUAGAUAUCUGGAGGAACACCGGUGGCGAAGGCGGCAGUCCUGGACCGGUAUUGACGCUGAGGCGC
rnacentral:rRNA from 1 species